GACGAACGCUGGCGGCGUGCCUAAUACAUGCAAGUUGAGCGCUGAAGGUUGGUACUUGUACCAACUGGAUGAGCAGCGAACGGGUGAGUAACGCGUGGGGAAUCUGCCUUUGAGCGGGGGACAACAUUUGGAAACGAAUGCUAAUACCGCAUAAAAACUUUAAACACAAGUUUUAAGUUUGAAAGAUGCAAUUGCAUCACUCAAAGAUGAUCCCGCGUUGUAUUAGCUAGUUGGUGAGGUAAAGGCUCACCAAGGCGAUGAUACAUAGCCGACCUGAGAGGGGGAGCGGCCACAUUGGGACUGAGACACGGCCCAAAAUCCUAGGGGAGGCAGCAGUAGGGAAUCUUCGGCAAUGGACGAAAGGCUGACCGAGCAACGCCGCGUGAGUGAAGAAGGUUUUCGGAUCGUAAAACUCUGUUGGUAGAGAAGAACGUUGGUGAGAGUGGAAAGCUCAUCAAGUGACGGUAACUACACAGAAAGGGACGGCUAACUACGUG
rnacentral:rRNA from 1 species